GACGAACGCUGGCGGCGUGCCUAAUACAUGCAAGUCGAGCGAAGAGAUGGGAGCUUGCUCCCUGAUCUUAGCGGCGGACGGGUGAGUAACACGUGGGCAACCUGCCCUGCAGACUGGGAUAACUCCGGGAAACCGGAGCUAAUACCGGGUAAUACAUCGCACCGCAUGGUGCAAUGUUGAAAGUUGGCUUUCUGAGCUAACACUGCAGGAUGGGCCCGCGGCGCAUUAGCUAGUUGGUAAGGUAAUGGCUUACCAAGGCGACGAUGCGUAGCCGACCUGAGAGGGUGAUCGGCCACACUGGGACUGAGACACGGCCCAGACUCCUACGGGAGGCAGCAGUAGGGAAUCUUCCGCAAUGGACGAAAGUCUGACGGAGCAACGCCGCGUGAGUGACGAAGGCCUUCGGGUCGUAAAGCUCUGUUGUUAGGGAAGAACAAGUACCGUUCGAAUAGGGCGGUACCUUGACGGUACCUAACCAGAAAGCCACGGCUAACUACGUGCCAGCCGCCGCCGUAACAC
rnacentral:rRNA from 1 species